UAGGGAAUCUUCCACAAUGACGCAAGUCUGAUGGAGCAACGCCGCGUGAGUGAAGAAGGUUUUCGGAUCGUAAAGCUCUGUUGUUGGUGAAGAAGGAUAGAGGCAGUAACUGGUCUUUAUUUGACGGUAAUCAACCAGAAAGUCACGGCUAACUACGUGCCAGCAGCCGCGGUAAUACGUAGGUGGCAAGCGUUGUCCGGAUUUAUUGGGCGUAAAGCGAGCGCAGGCGGAAUGAUAAGUCUGAUGUGAAAGCCCACGGCUCAACCGUGGAACUGCAUCGGAAACUGUCAUUCUUGAGUGCAGAAGAGGAGAGUGGAAUUCCAUGUGUAGCGGUGGAAUGCGUAGAUAUAUGGAAGAACACCAGUGGCGAAGGCGGCUCUCUGGUCUGCAACUGACGCUGAGGCUCGAAAGCAUGGGUAGCGAACAGG
rnacentral:rRNA from 1 species